rnacentral:tRNA from 1 species
GUUUUAAUAAUUUAAUAAAAAUAUUGGUCUUGUAAAUCAAAAAUAGUUUAAAACUUUAAAACU